rnacentral:misc_RNA from 1 species
GGAAGAAGUUAUUCUUCUUAAACAUCAGUAGUGCUUAUUGUACCAGAGGCAUAGGCAUCUUCUCUACUCGUUGGUGAUUGGAAGGGUAUAGCAUGAGUGGAUUGUUGUUGAUCUAAGUUAUCGAUGCCCUCUACGUGCCAAUGAUGCAGACUGUUUCUCCUGGUUUUUGUGACCUCUGGUUCUCCAUUGAUCAUGGUCUCACCCACCCAUGGGUGGUAUAUUGCUUAUAGUUGUUUUGGAUCCUAGAUUGCCUUGUUUAUCACUACGGAUGAUUGUAUGAGUCUCUCUAG